rnacentral:rRNA from 1 species
AAAGCCCAGCGCAUAACCUCCCAGGCUACCAAGCCUGUGGCGGAAUGUUGCGUUAAAGGAAAGGUCGUUUAAACCCUGCACAACGUAGUCAUAAGUUUGGCUUGAAUUUUCCACUGUUUCUUAACGGAAACACCGGCUCACAGAGGGUGAAAGACCCGUGUUGCUACGUGGAUAUGUGCAUGGGUUCGGCUUUUUUCCUUGAGAGUCGCGUUGCUUGAACAUGCAGCGCUAAGCAGGUCGUAAACUCGACCUAAGGCUAAAUAUUUCCACAGAACCGAUAGUAAACAAGUACCGUGAGGGAAAGUUGAAAAGCACUCUGAAGAGAGAGUCAAAAGACCGUGAAACCGUUCACAGUAUAAGCCAAUGGCUUUUCGGAAGGCUUGGAGCAAGCUUUCCCCUUUUCCAGGGAGAUGCUAUCGUGUGUGGUAAACCGAUAAGGGCAAGGUAGUGGCAUUUGGUUGAUAAACGCCGUGAAUGGUAACCUGCGGGCCUCUGACAGUGGUAACAGGCGAGGUUCUAAUGUGGAACCGACCCGAGGCUGGGCUUUGAGCAGGGUCCUGCUUUUGAAAUGCACAUUAACGAGUUGCUUACAUACAGCCCACCUACAACUCUUUACGAGGUCCCCACACGGACGCGGCUGUUGUGCUUUGGUUGCGUUUCAAUAACUGUAUUACGUGGUAUUGGACGGGCCAUCGCCUCGUGUCCCAUACGUGUGUUUGGUAUGAUCCUCUGUGAAGGUUUUGUUCUGACUAUCCUUAAUCCUGAAUCGAAGCACGAAUGUCGUAGAAGCUCUUAUGAGUGUUUGUCAGUAGUAGCUCUUUGGGCAUUCCGUUGGUCACGGAUAACAGGUGUCUAAAUCCGGAGCCAUUGGUCACGUCUCGAAACACGGGCCAAGGAGCAUAGCAUGUGCGCAAGUCUAAGGGUUUCACAAAACCCGGAGGCGAAGUGAAAGCGAAUGGUGUGUCUGUUAACAGCUCUUGGGCUGUUGGCAGGCGGCUACUACUUGAGUGUAAUUCCUGUGCGGAUGAAUGCAUCAUUGUGCUAAGACCGAGUCGAUCUCUGCGCGUCUGCCUAGAUGGCGUGCGUGGAUGCAAACUCCAGACUCUAUACCAAGGCACUGUUUUGUUAGAGUACUGUGUAGCGUGUAUGCUAUGACCCGAAAGAUAGUGAACUAUGCCUGGCGA